AGCAGCCGCGGUAAUUCCAGCUCCAAUAGCGUAUAUUAAAGUUGUUGCAGUUAAAAAGCUCGUAGUUGAAUUUCGGGAUCAAUUUAUCGGUCGUGCCAAUGGUAUGAACUGGUACAAUUGGUUUCUCCCUUCUGACGAAGCAUGAUGUCAUUAAUUUGGUGUCGUGGGGAAUCAGGACUGUUACUUUGAAAAAUUAGAGUGUUUAAAGCAAGCAUUAGCUUGAAUACAUUAGCAUGGAAUAAUGAAAUAGGACGUUUGAUCCUAUUUCGUUGGUUUCUAGGAUCGACGUAAUGAUUAAUAGGGAUAGUUGGGGGCAUUAGUAUUCAAUUGUCAGAGGUGAAAUUCUUGGAUUUAUUGGAGACUAACUACUGCGAAAGCAUUUGCCAAGGAUGUUUUCAUUAAUCAAGAACGAAGUUAGGGGAUCGAAGCGAUCAGAUACCGUCGUAGUCUUAACCAUAAAACU
rnacentral:rRNA from 1 species